rnacentral:rRNA from 1 species
UACGGGGGGAGCAAGCGUUGUUCGGAUUUACUGGGCGUAAAGGGCGCGUAGGCGGCCGCCGCAAGUCAGUUGUGAAAUCUCCGAGCUUAACUCGGAAAGGUCAACUGAUACUGCGGGGCUAGAGUGCGGAAGGGGCAACUGGAAUUCUUGGUGUAGCGGUGAAAUGCGUAGAUAUCAAGAGGAACACCUGCGGCGAAGGCGGGUUGCUGGGCCGACACUGACGCUGAGGCGCGAAAGCUAGGGGAGCGAA